GACGUAGGGCGCGAGCGUUGUCCGGAUUUAUUGGGCGUAAAGAGCUCGUAGGCGGUCUGUCGCGUCUGCUGUGAAAACUCAGGGCUUAACCCUGAGCUUGCAGUCGAUACGGGCAGGCUGGAGUUCGGUAGGGGAGACUGGAAUUCCUGGUGUAGCGGUGAAAUGCGCAGAUAUCAGGAGGAACACCGGUGGCGAAGGCGGGUCUCUGGGCCGAUACUGACGCUGAGGAGCGAAAGCGUGGGGAGCGAACAGG
rnacentral:rRNA from 1 species